AACGAACGCUGGCGGCAUGCCUAACACAUGCAAGUCGAACGAAGUCUUCGGACUUAGUGGCGCACGGGUGCGUAACGCGUGGGAAUCUGCCCUUGGGUACGGAAUAACUCAGAGAAAUUUGUGCUAAUACCGUAUAAUGUCUUCGGACCAAAGAUUUAUCGCCCAAGGAUGAGCCCGCGUAAGAUUAGCUAGUUGGUGGGGUAAAAGCCUACCAAGGCGACGAUCUUUAGCUGGUCUGAGAGGAUGAUCAGCCACACUGGGACUGAGACACGGCCCAGACUCCUACGGGAGGCAGCAGUGGGGAAUAUUGGACAAUGGGCGAAAGCCUGAUCCAGCAAUGCCGCGUGAGUGAUGAAGGCCUUAGGGUUGUAAAGCUCUUUUACCCGGGAUGAUAAUGACAGUACCGGGAGAAUAAGCUCCGGCUAACUCCGUGCCAGCCGCCGCGGUAAUAC
rnacentral:rRNA from 1 species